AGCCCUACUCUAGCCCAACCACCUGCAAAUGUUCAUGCAAACAAAACACAACUAGCCCCUCCAACAUAAAACAUUCUCCUCGGCCUAGUAUAGGCGAUAGAAAGGCCCACCUUGGCGCUAUAGAGUUCCAGUACCGUAAGGGAAAGAUGAAAUAGCAAUGAAAAUCCAAGCAGUGAAUAGCAAAGAUCAACCCUUGUACCUUCUGCAUCAUGAUCUAGCGAGAAAAACCAAGCAAAAUGAAUUAAAGCUUGCCUUCCCGAAACCUAAGCGAGCUACUUGCGAGCAGCUAUCCAUGAGCAAACCCGUCUCUGUCGCAAAAGAGUGGGACGACUCGUUAGUAGAGGUGAAAAGCCAACCGAGCUAGGUGAUAGCUGGUUGCCCGUGAACCGAAUCUCAGUUCUUCCUUGACAGUUACUCAAAGCACGCCCUAAAGCCCAGACGUAGAUGUCAAGAGACAUUUGAAGGAGGAACAGCUCCUUUAAAGACUAGAAAACAAUCUCCCAUAGCGGAUAAUUUUUUCCCCCCCCCCCCAACCGUGGGCCUUCAAGCAGCCAUCAACCAAGAGUGCGUCAAAGCUCAAACCAGAAAAAUUCUUAAACCACAAGACUCCCUCCCCAUUAGCGGGCUAACCUACAGCCAGUAGAAGAACUAAUGCUAGAAUGAGUAACUCGGACCAACUCCUCUCAAGCGCAGCCUUACAUCUCCACAUUAUUAACAACCCCCAGUACUUAAACCCCGACAAGACUGAGUACUGCCUAGACUGUUAAACCAACCCAGGAGCGCCAGAUAAGAAAGAUUAAAACCUGUAGAAGGAACUAGGCAAACCUAAGGCCCGACUGUUUACCAAAAACAUAGCCUUCAGCCAUCCAAGUAUUGAAGGUGAUGCCUGCCCAGUGACAUCUGUUCAACGGCCGCGGUAUCCUAACCGUGCAAAGGUAGCGCAAUCAAUUGUCUCAUAAAUUGAGACCUGUAUGAACGGCUAAACGAGGUCUUAACUGUCUCCUACAGGUAAUCAGUGAAAUUGAUCCCCCCGUGCAAAAGCAGGGAUACUAACAUAAGACGAGAAGACCCUGUGGAACUUAAAAAUCAAGGGUCAUUAUGCAUCACACCCAACCUACCAGGCCCACCCGCGCAUAAACUGACCCAUAUUUUUCGGUUGGGGCGACCUUGGAGAAAAACAAACCCUCCAAAAAUAGGACCACCCCUCCUAACUAAGAAAGACAUUUCAACGUGCCAACAGCACCCAGACCCAGCACAACUGACCAAUGGACCAAGCUACCCCAGGGAUAACAGCGCAAUCCCCCUCAAGAGCCCAUAUCGACAGGGGGGUUUACGACCUCGAUGUUGGAUCAGGACACCCUAAUGGUGCAGCCGCUAUUAAGGGUUCGUUUGUUCAACGAUUAACAGUCCUACGUGAUCUGAGUUCAGACCGGAGCAAUCCAGGUCGGUUUCUAUCUAUGCUUAAACCUUCCCCAGUACGAAAGGACCGGGGAGGUAAGGCCAAUGUCCAAAACACGCCUUUCCCUUAAGUACUGCCCCCAACUUAAUUACCAAAAGGGAUUAACUCUCUUCCUCCUAGAAAAGGAGUCA
rnacentral:rRNA from 1 species